CCCAAACAGCUGCAGGAGGGAAAGCAGCUGAGUUUGGAGGAAGAGUUUUCUGCUGAGGUUUCCUGUUUGGAGCUGUCACAAGCUUGAGCUGCUCAAGGGAAACGCGGCUCUGCUUCCAGCAGGGCCCAACUGCCCGGGAGCACAACUUGGUUCCCUGGCCCUGAGCCAACGGCAGCAGCAGCUUCUGUUCCCUCCUGGCUCUUGUGUCAUUUCCAGCAGCACAAGACACACCAAGAAAAGCUCCUCCAGAACAUGCCAUGAGAAACACAACCUGAUUUCAUUGAAUGAAGGAGCUCUGACAGUCCCACGGGCUCAGGUUUGUUUGUCAGUGAACAGAGCAGGGAAAAGCACAGACACAUUCCCUGCACAGGGAAUUCACAGGAGGAAAGUGCAGGGCUGGAGGAUGUGCUUGGAUACAACGUUCCCACAGCAGUUUUGGGGAUAAAAUCGUCAGUGGAGUGAAAAGAAAAAGUCCUAUCAAGGAUUUUGUGGGGAGGGCUGGUGCUUCCCGGGAGGCUCCCGAAGCUCAACAGUGUGAAAGAGUGGCUAGCUAACAAAGGUCGUGUUCCCAUGCAGCAAUUAGCUGAGAAAGAAUUAAACAACAGUGGAGUGUAGUUGGUAUGAGAUGUUGCAAUGUCAGAAAGACCUUAGUGAUAACUGUGAACUGAGAACAGGACACUGUGAUCAGAAGAAUGUGGAUUCAGCACAGAUGAAUGACCACAAGAAUGUGGAACUAGGGAGUUUGGAGUUGCCAAUAAAUGAGACUUGCUGAUCAUUCAUAUUGAGUGCUGCUUGUCUCCCGCCGAACUCAUCAAAUGGCGCCCGAACAAAUGGGACCCUUGGGACCUUUGGGACCUUUGGGACAUUAAAAAGCGAAGGCCACGGGAGUCGGCGACAGGGGACGGGUCCUCCGCAGCAAGGACGGCGAAAAGCAACGGUGCCGCGCCCCAGGCGACCUCAGAGGAGAGUCCUGGCCGUAACGUGCUGCCAAACCUUGUAGGGCUGCAACAGCGCUGACGGUAAGAUGGAAAGGCAAGCAGCACAUGAUUUAUUUACCUGCUUUUUAGAAAAGCCACAGCUUAAGGGUUUUGAUUUGUGCAAGGAGCUCCCUGGACUUCUUGCUUAUGGGUAUGCUCAUUCCUUUGCCUCCCACUGCUGGGCAAACACUCCUAUCUAUGCUGCCCAUGGAAAGAGGGAGGGAGAGU